GGGGACUACAGCUUUGGACAAAAGUCUAUAGCCAGAGCAUUCGUAAUUCCCCAUGCACAAGGGCUGACUGUGUCUGUGGGAAGACAUUUUAUUCAGUUGCUUUCUUAUUUCUUAGAGUUUUCUAGUCCUUUGCUCUCAGAUGUUUGCUACCUUUUAGAAUUUCACCUGUCUGGGUCACUGUACUUGAGAAAAUUCUGCAGCCUGUCAGAUGGUGUAGGUCUCAUAAAGACAGCUCUGUUCAGGUUUUGAAAGAGGGCUGCUCUCUAAGUGCUUGCUGUUAUCCUGUGCUGCCUCCUCUUUUAUUUCAAGAAUUAGGGGAGAGGGAAGAGGAUGCUUUCUUAACCCCUGUAUUUAGUGGCAAGCCAGAAUGUGCUCCCUGUGAAACCAUUUCUGACCCUCUGCUCGAAGUGGGACUGCAGUUUAAAGCUAGGAUUGGGACUUGGAAGGAUUCUCUAGGCAGACGGAACAGCCACGGAAGAAAAAAAACCGAACUGGAUUCACUGCGGACGGCGAAGAUGAGAGAGAUCGGGGAGGGGGGGCGAGGAAGAAGAGUCCCCGAGCGUCUGCCAGUCAGGACCACGGUCCGGGGGAAAACGCUCAAAGGCCCCCAGGCCGAGCGGGAGCGCGGAGGAGCCCCCGCGGACCUGCUCUGCCUUCUGCCAAUCAAAUGCUUCAGAGCCAACCGCCCGACCUGGCAGGAACCUGCAUUUACCUGCAGUGAAGGCAUUUUGCAAAUGAACUAUAAUAUAUGUCCGAUAUGGAAGUUGCUGCAACAUUAAAAGUCAGUCCGGAUGACUGGGGAUUUUUGACACAGAUGCACUUACAAAGAAACAGAUUUGUUCAUUUUUUAAGGAGAAAAAUUCAUGUCCAACAGGUGUUCUUAUAAAAUUAAAUUUCUUUAAAAAAAAAAAAAGUUCUAUGUGGCUGGUCCAAAUAAUAAAUC
rnacentral:lncRNA from 1 species